rnacentral:rRNA from 1 species
UGGGAAUUUUGGAACAUUGGGGAAAACCUGGUCCAGCAAUGCCGGGGUCCAGGAGAAAGGCUUUGGGUUGUAAAAUGGUUUUGUACGGAAAGAAAAAGGCUCCGCUAAUAACGAGAGCCCAAUGACGGUACCGAAGAAUAAGCAACGGCUAACUACCUGCCAGCAGCCGCGGUAAUACGUAGGGUGCGAGCGUUAAUCGGAAUUACUGGGCGUAAAGCGUGCGCAGGCGGUUAUGUAAGACAGAUGUGAAAUCCCCGGGCUCAACCUGGGAACUGCAUUUGUGACUGCAUGGCUAGAGUACGGUAGAGGGGGAUGGAAUUCCGCGUGUAGCAGUGAAAUGCGUAGAUAUGCGGAGGAACACCGAUGGCGAAGGCAAUCCCCUGGACCUGUACUGACGCUCAUGCACGAAAGCGUGGGGAGCAAACA